UGUACCAUUUAAAUACUCUGCUUCUUAGAUUUGAACUCAAACAUGGAUGUAAUUCAACCUAAAUUCAUCUGGAUUGAUAACAGAUGCUACCGUAAAAAUCCACUUUCUUCAUUGUAUUGUGAUGGGAAUAAUGUUCCUUUGACAGAUAUUGAAGAGAAAGGAAAACAUCUGGGAUCAUUUGAAACUUCUGAGUAUGAUGACGAAGGGGACGCUUGUGAAUUGGUAAAUGUACCAAUGGAGCAACUUGGAGAUGGAAGAUUUCGUGUGAAGAUGAACAUAGCAAGUGAAUAUCAUUCAAAAAUAAUUGGGAGAAACGGAGAUUCUAAGCGGCAAAUUGAAAGAGAUACCAGGGUCCAGUUAUUUAUUCCUAAGAAAGGCCAAUCUGGGGAUGUUGCUAUUACUGGGAUGAAUCCUAAGGACGUCACAUCUGCGUUUGUACGGAUCAGUCUUAUAGUAUCGAACGCGCGAAAGCGAAUGCCGUUCACACAUUUUGUGUCAAUACCUCUUACCACUCCUGAAAUCAAAACUCGGUUUCUCCAAUUCAAAAAUGAUGUGCUUCGAUUCUCGCGAGGUGCCAUUGAAGAUGACUUGUUUCAAAAUCCUGAUAAACUUCAUUUAACGAUUGGAACCCUAGUGCUUCUCACCAACAACGACAGAAUUCAAGCUGCACAAUCGCUCCAAAAUUGCAAAAGUCGUAUAAGAGAUAUAAUUGGAUCAGCUCCUAUUGAAAUCGAAAUUCGAGGAGUAGAGUACAUGAACGACGACCCGUCGAAGGUAGACGUCCUGUACGGGCGGUGCAUUGAAAACUCUGGCCGUCUUCAGCAAUUGGCUGAUGUCGUAGUGAAUUCACUGGAAGCUGAUGGCUUGUUGGAUCGUCAGUAUGAACGCGUGAAGCUGCACGCUACACUAAUGAACUCACUAUUCAAAGUUAAAGAUGAUUCAGAAGAAAAUGUGCGUUCCACAUUCAAUGCUAAGCCCAUAUUAGAGAACUGGAAAGAUUACAGUUUCGGCUCUGUGACAGUCGAUGACAUUCAUCUUUCGCAGCGAUAUUCAACCUCUCAAUCUACGAAAUAUUACGUGGCUAGCUCACAAAUGGCUUUGAAUCAAGACUUAUGAUUUCCAUCCAACAUCAAUCACUUUGAGCUUGCUGAGGUUGAUUACCAGAACAGUGAUGUUAUCCACCGAUCCCCGCUGGUAAGCUUGCAUAGCUAGACUCUUGGCGCCAAGAUGCGGUUCGUGUAGUCGCUGGCGAACGUAAAAAGCGGCCUCUUCAUUGCUGAAAGCGUCCCACAGACCGUCACUUGCAAGGAUUAGGAAGCUAGGCUGGUGAAGUCGGAGAUCGUAAAGAUCAAAAGAAAAGGGAAGUCGCCUAGAGCUCGAGAAGUUGCUAGAAUUCCGGCUACUCUCCACACACCAUUGAAAGAUAUAAACCCACCGGCCUCUUGGAUGCGCUUCCGUUCCUUCAACUGUUGACCGAUUUUAAGAUGAAUGGUGUUUAACCUCGUCAGACAAACUGCAUUCUUACUUCGCCUCCGUGACCGUCAUAAAUAGCGAAGAGAUUGAGCGGCGUGUUUCCCAGCUUUUCGACCAGAGUGAAUCUAUCCUCCAUUUUGGGCCGUCUGCCUUGUAGCGCAAAACAAGCCGAUUGCUGCGAAGUCGACCGAAGAUCCCACGUAGAGCCGGGGCUUUUCAUGUGUAAAUUAAGUAAGUCGCCCUUGCGAACGGGUCCAAGGGUGAGGAUCAUCCUGGUGACAUACGUUUUCACCUUUCGAACUAGCCUUCGUAAAAUUCUUGACAGCAACAGAGUCCAGCCUUGAAUGCGUUCGUUACGUGCAGCCGCUCCAAUCAAACCAAGGGCGAAGAGACCCAAUAUCAAGGGUAUGAAGUUGAAACUGUUGCUGCUGCCGUUCCUGUCGGCUCCAUACACGGGCGGUUCGUCCACCAAAUUUUGCAAUUCGAUUGACAAGUUUGGCAAUUCAAUUUGAUCGAUAUCGGCUCGUAUUCCUUUAAUAGAACGGGCUGAUAGUCGCAUCAGGAUCGAGCAGGCCUCGUAGAGCACAUCCGACUCUGUAGAGUCAUCCAUGGCUGUGGCUCAGUAAGUUUUCAUGGGCGGAGAAGUAAGCACUUUUGCACAGAAAAACAAAAAUCAACAAUAAACAGGGGAAAAGAGGCGGAAGCGGAAGCAAGAGACGACGAGACUACAGCCGCUGGGAACAGUUGUCUUUCCGUCUUGAAACUGAAUUUGUAAAAUGUGGUUGGUUGCUAACGUUUCUUCGGGACAAGUCUUUUCUCCAGACUUAACGUCGAAUGCCAGAAAGAAGAGGGGUUAUUUUUAUCCUCGGUAGCAAGAACUUGGAAGAAGAAAGAAAGAAAAAAGAUAGGAAAAAGCCGCCCACUUAUCCCCGCCCGGUCUUCGGAUUCUGCUCACAUAUCACCGCACACAACUUUCCCACUAGAAUGUUGAGUUUUGAGAAAUUAUUUCAUUUUACUUUGAAAAGACAAAUUGAUUCUGCUUAACAGUCAUUUUAAGAAAGAAAUGUUUGGAGUAAUAGCAACUGUUUUCUAAAAAACAAACAACUAUUGUUCAAUGUUUACCUGAUUAUCGUCUGUUCGUCAAUCGUCAAGUGGCGUCCAACAAGCGAUAGCUUAUCAAGCGACUCCAUGUGACCCCUCGUUUGCUUCUAGCAACUAGCCACGUAAGCGUCCUCCCGUGUCCCGUCCUGUAUGAACUAAUGCGAUAACGAUUUUUCAUUGAAUUUUUUAAA